UCCAGACUCCUACGGGAGGCAGCAGUGGGGAAUAUUGCACAAUGGGGGAAACCCUGAUGCAGCGACGCCGCGUGAGUGAAGAAGUAAUUCGUUAUGUAAAGCUCUCUCAGCAGGGAAGAAAAUGACGGUACCUGAGUAAGAAGCCCCGGCUAACUACGUGCCAGCAGCCGCGGUAAUACGUAGGGGGCAAGCGUUAUCCGGAUUUACUGGGUGUAAAGGGAGCGUAGACGGCAGUGCAAGUCCGGAGUGAAAGCCCGGGGCUCAACCCUGGGACUGCUCUGGAAACUGUAAAGCUGGAGUGCGGGAGGGGCAGGCGGAAUUCCUGGUGUAGCGGUGAAAUGCGUAGAUAUUAGGAGGAACACCAGUGGCGAAGGCGGUCUGCUGGACAGCAACUGACGCUGAGGCGCGAAAGCGUGGGGAGCAAACAGGAUUAGAUACCCCUGUAGA
rnacentral:rRNA from 1 species